rnacentral:sRNA from 2 species
UCUUUUUUUUUGCUGACCUGGACCAGUUAAAGAGGAGAGAGAGAGAGGGGGAAGAAAAUCCCUCUCAGCAGCUUUGAUGGUAGUUUUAAAAAAAAUUUGAAAGGGGAAAAAAAAGGAGGUAAUAGUCCUGUACAUGCGCGAGUUGGCAAUGCUUGAGCUGGCAUUAUUGUCAACCUCCCACUGGCAACAACAACAUUGUUGGUUUUCUUUUUUUCCAUCCAUACAUUCAUCAUGCCCUGAACAAAUGGUAGAUGUCUACCCAAAAACUCGAUGAAACACAUGACCGACAAUCAACAUCCCAACAUCUCACUGUCUCCGAUAGAUAUAUACAUAUAUGUAUAUAUAUAGUCUAUUAAGAUCGCCGAUCAGGCCCCUUCCCUCUUACAUGCAGACUAUCCUAUAUAAAACGCUCCCUGGAUCUUCUACACAAAAUUCAGUGUAAGCUUUUGGGCGAGUGCUUGGCAUCAACCAUGUGCGUGCGAUCGAUCGAUCAUCCGAAUGUUUGAUUCAUGCCCCACAACCCCUAUCAUAAGACAUUAUUCUUGUUUCUUUCUUUUUCUUUGUGGGUUUACCAAUACCAUUAGCAAAUAAAAUGCCGUUCCAACAAGCCAGGUUGAAAGACUGGAAGUUGGAGGCUGUAGGAGGUACAGAACUGAAAUUGAUAUUGGCAAAAAUGGUGGUAUUGGUGGUAUUCGACGUCGUCCGGACUCCGGCUCGUGCAAGCGUUUAACUCCCGGGA